AAGCCCUGGAAACGGGGUCUAAUACCGGAUAACACUCUCCACCGCAUGGUGGGGGGUUGAAAGCUCCGGCGGUGCAGGAUGAGCCCGCGGCCUAUCAGCUUGUUGGUGAGGUAGUGGCUCACCAAGGCGACGACGGGUAGCCGGCCUGAGAGGGCGACCGGCCACACUGGGACUGAGACACGGCCCAGACUCCUACGGGAGGCAGCAGUGGGGAAUAUUGCACAAUGGGCGAAAGCCUGAUGCAGCGACGCCGCGUGAGGGAUGACGGCCUUCGGGUUGUAAACCUCUUUCAGCAGGGAAGAAGCGAGAGUGACGGUACCUGCAGAAGAAGCGCCGGCUAACUACGUGCCAGCAGCCGCGGUAAUACGUAGGGCGCAAGCGUUGUCCGGAAUUAUUGGGCGUAAAGAGCUCGUAGGCGGCUUGUCACGUCGGUUGUGAAAGCCCGGGGCUUAACCCCGGGUCUGCAGUCGAUACGGGCAGGCUAGAGUUCGGUAGGGGAGAUCGGAAUUCCUGGUGUAGCGGUGAAAUGCGCAGAUAUCAGGAGGAACACCGGUGGCGAAGGCGGAUCUCUGGGCCGAUACUGACGCUGAGGAGCGAAAGCGUGGGGAGCGAACAGGAUUAGAUACCCUGGUAGUCCACGCCGUAAACGGUGGGCACUAGGU
rnacentral:rRNA from 1 species